CACCUCCAUGCCACUUUCCAAGUCCCUAAACAUUUCUUCAUACCUCCUGAGAUAAGCAAUAUCCAAAAUUUAUGGUGAUUAUUUCCUUAAUUUUCUUUACACUUUACCAACUAGGUAUGCAACCCUAAACUCCAUCGCUUGGUCUGGCCUGCUUUGCACUGCGUGUAGGUGCAAUCCUACAUGUUCUUCUUGUUUGUGGCUUCUUGGACUCAACAUUGUGUUUCUGAAAUUUAGUCACAUAGUUGCAAGUACAUGUGAUUUUUUUUCACUUCUCUAUACUGUUCCAUUGUGUGGAUUUACUGUAAUGAUUGAUCUAUCCUUAAUAUAUAUUUGGCCAGCUUCUUUUUUGAACAGUUACGAAUAAUUCUACUAGAGCAUUCUUUCAUAUAUCAUUUGAUGCAAUUCCUCUGUAUAUAUACCUUUGAGUAGAAUUACAGGGUCAUUGUGCAAAAUAUCCUCAUAGACAUAGAAAAGUUUAAAAGAUAAUUUAACUAAAUGUACUCCUGUCAGCUUUACCUCCAUUCUAUUUUUUGCCAUUUGCAUGUAUCUUAUCAAUUAUAUAAUUACCCCAACAAGACAUUAUUAUUUUAUGCAGUAAACAUUCAUUUAGAAUUAUGCACAUAUUUACCACUUUCAUUAAUUUGUAUUCCUUCUUGCAUAUUCAACUUAAUAUUUUCAAUAAGACCCUUUAUUGGCCAGGCAGGGUAGCUCACACCCAUAAUCCCAACAUUUUGUAAGGCUGGGGCAGGAGCACCCAGGAGUUCAAGACCAGCCUGUGCAACACAGCAAAACUGCCUCUACAAUGAAUGAAAAAGUUAGUCAGGCAUAGUGAAGCUACUCACAAGGCUGAGGUGGGAGGAUGGUUUGAGCCCAGGAGUUCCAGACUGCAGUAAGCCAUGAUCCUACCACUGAACUCCAGCGUGGACAACAGAGUGAGAAUCCAACUCUA
rnacentral:lncRNA from 10 species